rnacentral:misc_RNA from 1 species
GAAAUCGAAAAGAUUUCGCUCAUUUUUAUCCCAUUUGCUGUUUGUCUUGUGUUUAACAUAAAGAAACGGUCCACAUCGGCGUCAGUUACAUUUAAUUUUAUUAUGCUGAUACUAUUGUAUUUGUCAUUCCUCACCUGUUUAACUGGUGCAAUAGAAAAAAACAAAUUGUCUGAAAAAAUUUAUAUAUCACUUGAAGGAUCAUCUGUAUGUUAUCUUCGAUUAAAUAGGGAAAACACUUACGGCUGCAAAGGGGCUGAGAGUGCGGUGGGUGUUUUAUUUUAUAUGGACAAUGCAGCUAGACAACAAUGGUUCAAAAAUAAUGCCAGACAAGGACCUUAUACCCUGUUAAUUAAUCCAACUAAAAACUUUCCUUUCACCAAAGAACUGAUGUUAGAGAUAAGACAGUAUAUCAACGAUAAAAAAGUAAAUAGUCUUCUUGUGACUUAUUUUGGAAAUUCCACUGUUGAACAAUUCUCUCCAGAAUCGACUUGUCCAAAUCAUAAAUAUGAUCUUUAUUCAAACGAUGAUAGUUACAAGGAUUGCUUGGAUUACAAUUGGAAUGUUCAAGGAACGAAUUGGCUUAACGAGUAUUUCGAAAUACCCAUUCUGGCUCUUUAUAAAGCAGAUCAAGUUGAAAAAUUAAUAGACAUUUGUUGGAAAAAAAGAAAUGAACCCAAAAAUGAUCAACCACCGCAAUCACCCCUUUGUGCAGUCGAAAUUAAGUCUCAAAUGAGAGGGGCAGUUAAUGCCGAAGUAUGCCUUAGAAGGACGGGAAAAACUACAAAUUUGAAUGGAGAAUCUAAAGAGUUAUGUACAAUCAUUGGUGCCAGAACAAUAAUAUCGUCCUACCCAGGACCUUUGUUACAAGAGGAUAAAGUAAUCCUUGUGCUGGCACAGUAUUUGACUUUAACCAUGUUUGAAACUUUAGCUCCUGGAGCAAAUAACCCGUUAAGUGGAAUGAUAACACUAUUAGCUGUUGCAAAAGCUUUGAAGACAUCAGAGAAAGAAUUGCAAACACAUGGGAGGAGUAUCGUUUUUAUGCUUUUUGGAGGUGAAACUCUGGAUUACUUAAGUUCGACAAAGUUGGUCUUUGAUAUGAAAAAUAAGAACUUUUUCAUAGAUAAAAAACAAAUCGAAUUGAUUGUGGAACUAUCCCAACUUGCCGGGUCAAAAGAUCAAAUAUACAUGCACACAAACAAAAUCAAUUCUUCCGUUGCUAUUAGCCAAGCUAAUGAGAAAAUUACCCAAAAGUUCACUGAAUAUUCAAAAAAUAUAGCAUUCAAAGAAGCCAAGAAUAAUAUACUACCCCCUGCAAGUUUACAAAGCUUUCUAAAAUGGUUCGAAGUCCCUGGUGUAGUUUUAGCAGAUCAUAACACAGAGUUCAUAAAUAAGUUUUAUAAUAGCCGAUAUGAUACACUUUUAGAUGAGCUUAGAGACUUGCCUUUUAACACCUCAUUUGUUAAUAAAAGUUUUCCUCUAGCUAAAAAAAUAUCAGAGGUAUAUAAAUAUCUUCACUGCUUGUGUGCAUUUUUGUUAUUUAAUAUGUUUUAGAUAGCAGAAACAAUUACCCAGACGAUAUAUUCUUUGGCAACCAACAAGACUAAGACCGUGAAUGUUGAUGAAAUUUAUGCAAGUACACAUACAUAUUCUAAAUGAUCUCUAGCACAACUCUUUCAACAGGUUUCUAAUUUACUCUUUUGUCUCUUGAAAAAUAAUUCAUGCGAUCUUCUGCGAGAAAUAAUUCCUACUGAUUUUAAUUUGACUGCUGGAUAUGGAGACAAACCAACAUGGACUAGAGAUUGGCAUUUAUCUGUUCAACAAUCGCUUUCCAGAAAGAUCAGCACGGAGCAAUUAGUUUUGUAUGACUAUCUUUGACCAACAACGAACAUAUCCAGCAUUUUUUCAGUUUCAGAUCCCUAAUGGCAAAUGCAACGGGGAUUUUUUCACACAAUGUUACAGAAAAGCAAUGUAAUUCUUACAAUACAGGCAACAAAACUGGACUGUGGGUUAACGGCUUUGAAAUUGAUAAAAGUGUAGGCAUGUGUAUAAUAUCCGCCAUACGGCAUCAUUCUGGAUUAUCACCUGGAUAUGACCCUUCUAGUAUAUUUUACAAUUAUUUAUCUCAUAAAGAUCUCUUUUAUUUGCAACCACAGCCAACAAGGUUCUUGAUAAUGGCUAUCCGGUCUGGACUGAGAGUACAUGGAUAGAUAUAGAUAUACGAUAUUUUUUGAAGCCUGACAGUGCAACCGAGGUAAGAAAGUAUUUUUUUAAAAUAAAAUGUUGGUGAAUGCAUAAUGCUUUUGCACCAGAUUUUUCAAAUUCUGUUUGUCUUACUUUCCUUCAGCUCGCUGUACUACUCAGUGGGAUUUUUGUUUUUAUCCUAUCGCUUGCUGGAGGCUAUAUACUGUCGAAACGAAGUCAUUUGUUAUUUGAAGAUGGAGCAUCAGGUCCUCUAUAGCUACGAUAAUUUAUUUAACGUACAUUAUUUUAUUUACAUAUGUAUGUCAUUUGUACCUCUUUUGUUUAUUUUGAAUAAAUUAAUUGAGAUUUUCUUAUAACUACAA